AGCGGAUUAGCGGCGGACGGGUGAGUAACACGUGAGUAACCUGCCUUAGACAUUGGGAUAGCCUCGGGAAACCGGGAUUAAUACCAAAUAAAAUCAUAAUGUCACAUGUCAUAACGAUCAAAACUCCGGUGGUCUAAGAUGGACUCGCGUCCCAUUAGCUAGUUGGUAGAGUAAAAGCCUACCAAGGCGACGAUGGGUAGCCGGCCUGAGAGGGUGAACGGCCACAUUGGAACUGAGAAACGGUCCAA
rnacentral:rRNA from 1 species